AAAAACUCUCAUCCCUUUUUUUUAUUAGCCUAUCUGUAUCUUUGUGGGUGGCCACUGGCCAACGUAGCCCGAGCUGUGCGAGAGCCGGUCAAGACACACACGGGCGAGGCGAUUGUUGGUGGCGGGCGUGCGAGCGGGCGCACACGGGGGCGUGGGCACGCGGACCGGCCAUAGAUGGUACUGGCAUGGAGUGUGAGCUGGACGGAGACGCAACGGCAGCGAGGGCAUGCGCAACAACCAAGGUGCGAGAGGGCGGCUCUGACGCGCGCGAGCAGAUUCAUCAAAUCUACCUCAAAGUGUGUGUGGAAAAGCAAAAAACCGGCGCGUUGCCUUGAGGACGAGCCGGCCGGCCAGAGUGGAGAUAAGGCCAGCUCGAGGUGUGUUCACUGUGAUGGGGCGAGGUGGUACCAGUCAGGCGCGGAGCUGUGAAGCGGGGAGGAGCCGGUGCGCGGGUGGCAUGACGCAGUGGGCCGGAUCGAGGCGGGGCAGAGCCAUGACGGCAGAGGUGAGGCCGCGUUGGAGGAAGCCAACACGGGUGAUACAAGCGGUGCAAGGCGGGAGCGAGGUGAGCGCGGGUGGCGCUGGUGCGCGAAGAUGUAUCUGCGCGCAGGAGGUGCACGCGUGGCGCAACAAAGUUGAUGACGGCGACAGUAGGCGCGACUAGGCGUGCACGGGCCGGGGGCGCCGCGGAGCUAGCGCAGUAGGAGCCGGCCACGAUGGAGGUGAGGGGCAGCUAGUGGAGCUCAACGCAGCAGGAGCCGAUGAAUGACGAAGGCGGCGCGCAGCAGGUGGAGCGCAGCACAGCGGGCGCCGGCGCGCGGCGGCGCACGGUGCAGCAGAAGAAGUCAGCUGUCGGAGCGGCGACUGAGGCGAGGCCGCUUCUGAGGACCAGCUCAAGAUGGGGCGACACCGCCCCAGAUCGAGGAGAACUCGGAGCGAGGUGGAGG
rnacentral:lncRNA from 1 species